rnacentral:rRNA from 1 species
UACAGAGGGUGCGAGCGUUAAUCGGAAUUAUUGGGCGUAAAGGGCGCGUAGGCGGCUUGAUGUGUCAAAGGUGAAAUCCCUCGGCUCAACUGAGGAACUGCCUUUGAAACUGUCUGGCUUGAGGCCGGGAGAGGGUAGCGGAAUUCCCAGUGUAGCGGUGAAAUGCGUAGAUACUGGGAGGAACACCGGUGGCGAAGGCGGCUACCUGGACCGGAACUGACGCUGAGGCGCGAAAGCGUGGGUAGCAAACAGG